rnacentral:rRNA from 1 species
UACGAAGGGGGCUAGCGUUGCUCGGAAUCACUGGGCGUAAAGCGCACGUAGGCGGACUCUUAAGUCGGUGGUGAAAUCCUGGAGCUCAACUCCAGAACUGCCCUUCGAUACUGAGAGUCUCGAGUCCGGGAGAGGUGAGUGGAACUGCGAGUGUAGAGGUGAAAUUCGUAGAUAUUCGCAAGAACACCAGUGGGCGAAGGCGGCUCACUGGCCCGGUACUGACGCUGAGGUGCGAAA